rnacentral:snoRNA from 1 species
AUCCUUUUGCAGUUCAUGAGCAUGAUGACUGGGUGUUCACACACUUGUGUGACAUGUGCUUCCCUCAAACCUUUAUGACAUCGCACAUUACCCGUCUGAUG